rnacentral:lncRNA from 1 species
AGUGAAAUAACCCACUCUGAGGCUCUCUAUGGCUGCUGACCUCUCUCGUGGUGGUGUGAACAUCUCACAGCUAUUCUCAGGCAGUUACGAGCAGUUUUUUCAAACCGUUGUUUGUGGAUUUCGGAGGAAUCUGAAAUGUGCCGUGACAGGUGUUUUGCAAGUAAUCAAUGAGAGAUAUUUCCAGGAACAAUCUUGUACCAUGGACUGGCAAUUUCCACAGAGAGAUCUUACUUGACUUUACCACCAGAUGGUGGUCAUUCCUUAGUACUACAGGCGGGUGGCCAAGCAGGAGGAGAUACGAGGCCUCUUCGGUGUCUAAUGGGGGGUGGCAUGGCAUGGUAUCCACAGGG